rnacentral:rRNA from 1 species
CCCUUAGAUGUCCUGGGAUGCACGCGCGCUACACUGGAAGUUACGGAUUGAGAUACUACCUUGUCCGAAAUGGUCCGGGUAAUCACCUAAAAGCUUGUCAUAAUUGGAAUGGAUUAUUGUAACUAGUAAUCCUGAACGAGGAAUUCCUAGUAAGUCCCAGUCAACAGCUGGUACUGAUUACGUCCCUGCCCUUUGUACACACCGCCCGUCGCUACUACUGAUUGGACGUUUAAGCAAGAUUUUUAAACACUGACAGUGUGUAGUUCACGCUAUACUACAGUGAGAAGAAGAAGAUCGAGCUUACUUGUCUAGAGGAAGUAAAAGUCGUAACA